rnacentral:rRNA from 1 species
CACAUGCAGUCGAGCGGGCGUAGCAAUACGUCAGCGGCAGACGGGUGAGUAACGCGUGGGAACAUACCUUUUGGUUCGGAACAACACAGGGAAACUUGUGCUAAUACCGGAUAAGCCCUUACGGGGAAAGAUUUAUCGCCGAAAGAUUGGCCCGCGUCUGAUUAGCUAGUUGGUGAGGUAACGGCUCACCAAGGCGACGAUCAGUAGCUGGUCUGAGAGGAUGAUCAGCCACAUUGGGACUGAGACACGGCCCAAACUCCUACGGGAGGCAGCAGUGGGGAAUAUUGGACAAUGGGGGAAACCCUGAUCGAGCGACGCCGCGUGGAGGAUGAAGGUCUUCGGGUUGUAAACUCCUGUCAUUUGAGAACAAGGCGCACGUAUUAACUGUGCAUGCGUUGAUAGUAUCAGAAGAGGAAGGGACGGCUAACUCUGUGCCAGCAGCCGCGGUAAUACAGAGGUCUCAAGCGUUGUUCGGAUUCAUUGGGCGUAAAGGGUGUGUAGGUGGCGCGCUAAGUCGGGUGUGAAAUUUCGGAGCUUAACUCCGAAACUGCAUUCGAUACUGGCGUGCUUGAGGACUGGAGAGGAGACUGGAAUUUACGGUGUAGCAGUGAAAUGCGUAAUUCGUAAGGAAGACCAGUGGCGAAGGGCGGGUCUCUGGGACAGUUCCUGACACUGGAGACACGAAGGCCCAGGGGAGCAAACGGGAUUAGAUACCCCGGGUAGUCCU